UACAGAGGUGCCAAGCGUUAGGCGGAAUCACUGGGCUUAAAGCGCGUGUAGGCGGGUCGUUAAGUGUCCGAGUGAAAUCCCACGGCUCAACCGUGGAACUGCCGGGCAUACUGGCGGUCUUGAGGCAUUCAGGGGCGAGCGGAACAAAUGGUGGAGCGGUGAAAUGCGUAGAUAUCAUUUGGAACGCCAAUGGUGAAAACAGCUCGCUGGGAAUGAUCUGACGCUGAGACGCGAAAGCCAGGGGAGCGAACGGG
rnacentral:rRNA from 1 species